UUCGUUAAGGCGUGUUUGCUCCACGGAGUUUCCUUAAAAUCAGACAGUUUCCUCCAGGUUCUCUGGUUUCCUCCCACCUCCCAUUAACAUGCAGGAUCCUGCAGCUGAUCCAGUUGAGCUGGAAUGAGGCAAGUCUUCUGGGGUUGUGGAAAGCCAGAGCACUUGACUACGCCUAAGUAAAAGUGGGAGGAGCUAGAUGUGCAGGUGCUGUUGACAGCAGCAUUACACCAGACCAACCCGUCAUAUCUUCAAGUGAAGGCAGCAGCACCACACUGACCUGC